AGACAGAGUCCUCAUCAGCUUCAAUUACAAGUAUUAAGCCCCCGGACAGCACUUUGACAGAGAGGCGGCCAGUCCCAACUCCUUCCCGCCCCCCUAAAUCAUCCCCGAAUUAACAUCACAAUCGGCGGCUGGCGCGCGUUCAGAUUUAAAUGGUGGCAUAUUGUUCGCGGACGGUCUAGUUCAGACCAGCGGGUUCUCAGUUCCCGGCGGCAGCCCCGGCCGCUCCCCCCACUGCCCCCUCCUGCCUCCCGGGAGGCUGUGACUCAGGAGCCGUGGGAGGCUCCGGAGCCCGGUCUCCAGCAGCGGAGGCUGCAGGCGGGGGUGCACCGGGGUGGGGGCGAGCGGACUGCGAUCUCCGGGACCUCAUUUCUGCCUAGCAACAUCACAACCAAUCAAGAUGCAACUAGGCCUAGCAGUUCGGCUCAUCCUUCACUGGGAUUGGCUGCUGGCGGUGAGCGCAUCCUAAGUUUUCAUUGGCUGACGGCCACCUGUAUGGAAAUGAGAAUGAUAGGGCACUUCUCAGCGCCUUCUCUGCGACGUGGACCUGUGGCUUACUGCACUGAAACCUGCAAGCUCAGAGCCAGAACUCCGGGGCUUUUUUUCUGCCUCUCUCCCUGUUCUUCCCCCAAAGCGAUAUCUCAAACUUUCCCCUCAGCCCCUCUGUCUGAGGCUCAGUCGGAAAGAAAUUCGCAAAAAAGAAGGCGAAUUUGUAUGCUUUUUUGCAUUUUCGUUGCCUUCUCUCGGUUCUGUAUCAAGAUUUUGCCCCUUCCGUCCAAUGCUGUGACAGUUUUUGCUCCUUUCUCGCUUCCAUGUCCAUCCAAGGGGCGGCUUCUCUCCGUGUAGAGUCCCUCAGUCCCUGCCCCCUGUUGCCUCAAACCCUCCCUUCGGGCUCAGCUCCACCAAAUUCCCAAUUGCCCCCUUCCUCCCUCUCAGGAUCCAGGCGCCUCGCACAACAGUCUAAAGCCUAGUUUAGAAGGGAGUUAGAGAGGGAGAGGACUCCCCCACCUCCCCCCCAAAAAACCUCCAUCCUCGCUCCCCAUCCAUUUUCUCCGAGGGAGCCGAGUUUGACAGCGAAUUCAUUCCGAGAGGGGAGGGUGAUUUAUUCUUCAAAUAUACCGACAAGUGCGGGCAUGAUGGAGCCCAUUAAAAUGUUGGGAGAUUGUUUUUAUGAUUGAAGUCUGUAUUACUCCAACCAUAAAGAAAGAGAGCAAGGAGUCAUUAGCAUUUUCAUGAUGGUGUAUUUCUGCUUGUCUCCGCGCCAUCACUCAUCUUUACUGCCCGUCCCUUUGCUCUCGCUCUGCUACAACGAGGAGAGACUGCAGCCUGAGUUGGGGUUGGGGGUGGGGGGAGGCGGGGGCCAGAGAUCCCCUCGCCACUCUGCCCUUCACGCCGAAUCCUCACCCUCCCUGGGACGCAGAUCAUGGGGUGAGAGGCCGAACGCAGACAAUGAUGUGCCUCAGCUUUCUCCAGCCU
ensembl:lncRNA